AGCGAACGCUGGCGGCAGGCUUAACACAUGCAAGUCGAGCGGGCGUAGCAAUACGUCAGCGGCAGACGGGUGAGUAACGCGUGGGAACAUACCUUUUGGUUCGGAGCAACUGAGGGAAACUUCAGCUAAUACCGGAUAAGCCCUUACGGGGAAAGAUUUAUCGCCGAAAGAUUGGCCCGCGUCUGAUUAGCUUGUUGGUGAGGUAACGGCUCACCAAGGCGACGAUCAGUAGCNGGUCUGAGAGGAUGAUCAGCCACAUUGGGACUGAGACACGGCCCAAACUCCUACGGGAGGCAGCAGUGGGGAAUAUUGGACAAUGGGCGCAAGCCUGAUCCAGCCAUGCCGCGUGAGUGAUGAAGGCCCUAGGGUUGUAAAGCUCUUUUGUGGCGGGAAGAUAAUGACGGUACCGCAAGAAUAACGCCCCCGGCUAACUUCGU
rnacentral:rRNA from 1 species